rnacentral:rRNA from 1 species
GACGAACGCUGGCGGCGUGCUUAACACAUGCAAGUCGAGCGGAAAGGCCCUGCUUUUGUGGGGUGCUCGAGUGGCGAACGGGUGAGUAACACGUGAGUAACCUGCCCUUGACUUUGGGAUAACUUCAGGAAACUGGGGCUAAUACCGGAUAGGAGCUCCUGCUGCAUGGUGUUGGUUGGAAAGUUUCGGCGGUUGUGGCUGGACUCGCGGCUUAUCAGCUGGUUGGUGGGGUAGUUGCGUCCCAAGGGUUUGACGGCUAGGCGGCCUGGGAACGUGACCGGCGUCCAUGGGACUGAGGGAGGGCCCAGACUCGAACCGGCGGCAGCGGGCGGGAGUCUUGCACAGCAGCGCGACGCGUGAGGUAACGAUGUCGCGUGCGUGAAGCACGCUUACUAGUUAUAAACCGCUUUCGAAUGUAACAAAGAGUGCUUGACGGUAAUGGGUAAAGAAGCCCCGGCUAACUACGUG